rfam:Lepisosteus oculatus linkage group LG8, whole genome shotgun sequence.
GCCAGCAGCCAUAUCACCCUGCAGCUCUCAACUGGUGGCCCACUGAAGCUCAGCAGGGUUGAGCCUGGUCAAUACCUGGAGGAGAGACUCAUGGGAAGCUAUGGUUGCUGCUGGAA